UGGGUUUAUGUGACUUUUUUUUCCACACUAGAAGCAUGUUGGAAUGAUUGAUCUUUCUUUACUUUUCUUCUGAAACUUUGGAUUUUGUUUUUUGUGCCUUAGGAAUUCCUUGAAUUUUCAAAACAUAAGAUUUGUUUCUUCAUCACUUUCACUUUUGAAGUCUUCAUCUUCUGCCUUCGUGUCUAUGGCAUCUAUAGAUUUUAGUCCAAUACUUUUCUUCUUUUU
rnacentral:lncRNA from 1 species